rnacentral:rRNA from 1 species
AUUGAACGCUGGCGGCAUGCUUUACACAUGCAAGUCGAACGGCAGCGCGGGCUUCGGCCUGGCGGCGAGUGGCGAACGGGUGAGUAAUGCAUCGGAACGUGCCCAGUAGUGGGGGAUAGCCCGGCGAAAGCCGGAUUAAUACCGCAUACGACCUGAGGGUGAAAGCGGGGGACCGAAAGGCCUCGCGCUAUUGGAGCGGCCGAUGUCGGAUUAGCUAGUUGGUGGGGUAAAGGCUUACCAAGGCGACGAUCCGUAGCUGGUCUGAGAGGACGACCAGCCACACUGGGACUGAGACACGGCCCAGACUCCUACGGGAGGCAGCAGUGGGGAAUUUUGGACAAUAGGGGCAACCCUGAUCCAGCCAUGCCGCGUGCGGGAAGAAGGCCUUCGGGUUGUAAACCGCUUUUGUUCGGGAAGAAAUCCUCUGGGCUAAUACCCCGGGGGGAUGACGGUACCGGAAGAAUAAGCACCGGCUAACUACGUG